rnacentral:rRNA from 1 species
UACGUAGGGGGCGAGCGUUGUCCGGAUUUAUUGGGCGUAAAGAGCUCGUAGGCGGUUCGAUAAGUCGGACGUGAAAUCUCCACGCUCAACGUGGAGGGGCCGUUCGAUACUGUCGUGACUCGAGUCCGGUAGGGGAGUGUGGAAUUCCCGGUGUAGCGGUGAAAUGCGCAGAGAUCGGGAGGAACACCCGUAGCGAAGGCGGGCACCUGGGCUAACACUGACGCUGAUGCGCGAAAGCUAGGGGAGCAAACAGG